ACUAGACGACGCGGGUGUCUUCGUUAGUCGUUCGAGAGGCGCCUGAGAGGAGGCGAGUCGAGAGUGUCUUCGUGAGGGAGAAAUAUUUGCCAUUUGUUUACGAGACGCUGACUGAAAGUGUAUUCCAAAUUCAUUACGAAAUUGCGGUGUCGAUCUACAUUUUCAGCCAUGAAAUGGCAAUCUGUCAUAUAAUUUCACUUGGCUAAAUAAUGUGACCACUUUCACUUUGGUCGAAACUGCCGUCCAUUUUGUCGAAAUGUCGGCCAUGGUUUUAGCUGCACCCAUACGGCUCUACUUCUCAUCUCGUGCUGUAACAUUUCAGAGCUAUUGAUUUUCAGGUCGGAGAUGGAAAUCCCUUUGCUCAACUGAUGCAGAAAUUGAGGACAUGAGAAAAGUCUGAGCUUCAUGGAUGUUGUAUCUUUAAUGUGGUUUUGUUGCAGCCAGCUGGUGAGAAAAAUGUGUGUGAGUCAAGUUGAGCUGAAGGCCUGCAGCUGCAGCAUGCAGUUUAUCGAGCUGGUGUUAUCCCAAAAAGUGUCACUGCAGGAAAACAUCUUGAAUUGGAGUUCAUGGUCAGUUGGAGCUGUUUGGUGUACAGUGAUUUUGCAGUCCCUUUCCAGUUGAGAGAUGCUCUGAAAUGGAGCUUGUGCAGACUUGCAGUUCAAAAUCACACUUAAAUGAGUCAUUUGUCUAUGUUGGUGUUCAUGCAGUGUUGAACAAUUGGGUUUUAUAGUCAAUUCUGCCUGAUGGCUGUCGGUCUUAUUUUAUCCGUCUCUUGCUACCUGUGCCAGCGUUGAGUUGAAUCGUUUGCUGCCGUUCCAUAGACUUGAUCC